CCUACGGGGGGCUGCAGUGAGGAAUAUUGGUCAAUGGGCGCGAGCCUGAACCAGCCAAGUCGCGUGAGGGAAGACGGUCCUAUGGAUUGUAAACCUCUUUUGUCGGGGAGCAAACGACGCCACGCGUGGCGUUCCGAGAGUACCCGACGAACAAGCAUCGGCUAACUCCGUGCCAGCAGCCGCGGUAAUACGGAGGAUGCGAGCGUUAUCCGGAUUUAUUGGGUUUAAAGGGUGCGCAGGCGGAAGAUCAAGUCAGCGGUAAAAUUGAGAGGCUCAACCUCUUCGAGCCGUUGAAACUGGUGUUCUUGAGUGAGCGAGAAGUAUGCGGAAUGCGUGGUGUAGCGGUGAAAUGCAUAGAUAUCACGCAGAACUCCGAUUGCGAAGGCAGCAUACCGGCGCUCAACUGACGCUCAUGCACGAAAGUGUGGGUAUCGAACAGGAUUAGAUACCCGGGUAGUC
rnacentral:rRNA from 1 species